CGGACGGGUGAGUAACGCGUGGAAAACCUGCCGUAUACUGGGGGAUAACACUUAGAAAUAGGUGUUAAUACCGCAUAAGCGCACAGCUUCGCAUGAAGCAGUGUGAAAAACUCUGGUGGUAUACGAUGGUUCCGCGUCUGAUUAGCUAGUUGGUGGGGUAAUGGCCUACCAAGGCAACGAUCAGUAGCCGGCCUGAGAGGGUGAACGGCCACAUUGGGACUGAGACACGGCCCAAACUCCUACGGAAGGCAGCAG
rnacentral:rRNA from 1 species